rnacentral:rRNA from 1 species
UCAGAAACUCAAAUGGAAUUGACGGGGCCGCACAAGCGGAGGAGCAUGUGGUUAAUUCGAUGAUACGCGAGGAACCUUACCUGGGCUCGAACGUAAGAUGACUGUAGGUGAAAGCUUACAUCUCUUCGGAGCAUUUUACGAGGUGCUGCAUGGUUGUCGUCAGCUCGUGCCGUGAGGUGUCGGGUUAAGUCCCAUAACGAGCGCAACCCCUACCUUUAGUUGCCAUCAGGUAAUGCUGGGGACUCUAAAGGAACUGCCUACGCAAGUAGUGAGGAAGGCGGGGAUGACGUCAAAUCAGCACGGCCCUUACGUCCAGGGCUACACACGUGCUACAAUGGCCGAUACAGAGGGCAGCUACCUGGUGACAGGAUGCAAAUCUCCAAAGUCGGUCUCAGUUCGGAUCGGAGUCUGCAACCCGACUCCGUGAAGUUGGAUUCGCUAGUAAUCGCGCAUCAGCCAUGGCGCGGUGAAUACGUUCCCGGGCCUU